GCCGUGAGAGUGGCGAACGGGUGAGUAAUGCGUGACCGACCUGCCCCAUACACCGGAAUAGCUCCUGGAAACGGGUGGUAAUGCCGGAUGUUCCACAUGAUCGCAUGUGAUUGUGGGAAAGAUUCAUCGGUAUGGGAUGGGGUCGCGUCCUAUCAGCUUGAUGGCGGGGUAACGGCCCACCAUGGCUUCGACGGGUAGCCGGCCUGAGAGGGCGACCGGCCACAUUGGGACUGAGAUACGGCCCAGACUCC
rnacentral:rRNA from 1 species